ensembl:lncRNA
GAUCAAUCUCCCUAUUACUGCUGUGAACAGCCCUUACUGAAAUCUCCACCUCCGUUUUCAGAGAGCAGAAAAAAGACCUUUAGCGUGCUUGCUUUGCAGGGACACUCUAACGUGUUAAGAUAUUAAUUAUCUAACUUAUUAAUGAAUCCCACCACGAGGCUGCUGUGAGACCUCUCGCGGUAAGGAUCCGCCCAAACCGGUGUGAGCCGUUUUGGUAGUAGCGGGACCGUGCAGGCGGCGAGGGCUCGGGAGCCGCGAGGAUCUCUUCGGCUGGAGCGGGAGGCUGCCGGGCUCCCGGACCCCGCUCUUCUCGGGGCCGGCGUAGGGCUGCCGCCGGGCUUCCCCGGCUGUUUGCUGUCGAUACAGCGUCGCCGCCCGGCUCCUAUCGCGUUUUCGGAGGGAGCUGCCGCUCAGGUCCUUAAGUCCUACCGCAGCCCCGGGGUGCUCUGAGCCUCCCUCUUCCUAGGGUUGUUUGUAGCGGGUGCUUCGGUUCUUCAGGCUCUCAUCGGCUGAGCGAGUGUUCCGGCAGAGCCUCUCCUCGCUCCAAACCGGUGAGCUCGUGGAAGCGGUGAGUGCUGGGGAGUCAGCUGGUAAGAUCUCUCUUCUCGGGGUUUAUGUAGGGCUGUUGCUCGGCUACCUCUGCACCUUCGGGAUCGGCACGGCGCCGCUUCUGGGCUCCCGCGUGGCCUUUUAGAGAAGAGCCGGCACGAGGCCGCUGCCCGACGGCUCGAGACCGAGCGCGGCCCCGGGGCGGCCUCAGCCCCCGAGGAGGGUUCUACUGGUGCUCCAGCCCCCCCGUUUCCAGCGGUGGGAGCGAGCAGGAUGGGAACAUUUGUUUUCUUUUUUUCUCCCCCUUCCUUCACGUGGGACUUCAGGAGCACGGUUUUGUGCCUACCGUGGAGACCUGGUGGGGCAGCUUGCAUGACCGGAAUGCUGUUGUGGAUGGCUUUGUUCCUUUUAGGAAAGACAGACCGGCCAGGUGGUGGAGUCUCUCUUCCAGUGAGAGAAUGGAAAUGUAUCGAGCUCUGCCUCGGGGUGAAUGAAGAACUAGCGGAGCGCUUGCAUGUGAGGCUCAAGAGGCAGGUAAAUGUGGGUGACAUCACUGUGGGUGGUAUCUCUACUGGCAGGAGACCUGCAGGGUUGAAUGAGGAACUCAAGAUGAACUUGAAGGGGAAAAGGAAGACUUGGGCUAAGGAAGACGAUGACCCUCUCAGUAUCACCUUUGGGAAGGGAGGUCAAGGCUAAUAGAAGUUGUGGUCGCUGCUGAGUCUGCUCCUUGGGAUCCCUGGAUUCUGGAGGAAAUAGUUUUAGAGGAAGGAUGACUUCCUCUUGAUUGUGGAGGAGCUGGUCAAAGGUCAUUUAGGCAAAGAAAGGUGCCCAAAGACUGGAGGAUAGCUGAUGUCACCUCAGCCUUCGGAAAGGGUGAGGAGGAUGGCCUGUGUGUAUGGGAACUGUUGAAUCACAGCCUGAACCUUUGAUUCCUCCACCUGAGGAGAGUGCCGAGUCAGCUGCAGGGGCACAGGUGAAUGCAAUUUCACCUGAGUGAGGGGAAGAGGUGGAGCCUGGCUCCAUCCCUCCUAGAUGCCAUUUAAGGGCUGACUCCCAAGGAGGAAGGAUCUCUGGCUGGAGAUCCUCUUGGAGCCCUUCUGUAAGCCCAGGACAUGGGUUGGUUAGCCUCACCUCCCUUCCUGGAAUGGCAAUGUAACAACUGCUUCUGGAUGUCAUCUCCAAGCAACUGGAAGAGAAGAAAUGUCUAAGGAGUGGUCAAGGGUGAAGGCUGCAGGGAGGAUUGGCUGGAAUACGUGAGCUGCUUUUUUCCAGUGCUGGGAUGAAGGAGGUGAGAGAUGGGGACCCACCAGUGGGUCCCCUGCUAGCAGAGGGCUGCCUUCUGUGUGGUUCACAGGUCUUCCUGCAGGUUCAGGGCUGGAGUGAGGUCUGAAGGUGUGUGGCAGGUUCUCUCUUGGAGGAAUGGAACUGAUGAAGUGCUGGAGUUUGGGGUCCUGGUGCAGCUGUUGUCUGAAGGUCCUGAUCCUGGGCUGGGAGGUGCAGCGCUGGAUCUGCUGAAGGAGCAGAGGCAAGAGCUGAAUUUCUGCAUGGCAGCAUCUCUUGAAUGCAGUAGAGCUUCCCCAGCUUGAAGAUGGGUGUGCUAUCCAUAUGCCAGAGGAGUGGCAUCAACUGUCUUGUAAUAAACUUCUCAUUUCCUUUUUUAAGAUGAGCCCACUGCGACCUGUCUGGUUUCUUACUAGUUAACUCAGGAGCGUGCUUCUCAGAGAAACUCUUUGUGUUGAAUCUCAGUGAGUGAGUUACUGUGAACCUUCCUCCCAAACUGAGACUGAACUCAAGCAGAAGUGACAAUAUGUUGUACUCUGCAUGUAGCUCUUUAACAGAAGACAUGGAACUCUGGGGUUGUGCCUUUGUGUUAAAUGUUUGCAUGCAGUGUAUUGCAUCUUCAUGUGAGAGUCUGCAGUUAAUAAACUUUGCUUUUAAUUAGUUAAUGAUCCAGUUCUCCUGUGAUUGUAGCACAACAGCCAGAUAAUGCAGGAUAGAAAAUGGAGCUAGUUAACUUAAAUAUGAUACUAUUCUACUCACUUGACUUAUCUGUGUGUUAGUAGGUUUACUCAGUGCAACCAAGCGUCUGCAGGCCAUUAACCUGUUGCUCCUGGUGAUAACAGGACAUAGACAUUCCUCUGGAAAAAAUAACAAAAAUGUAUAUUAGUGACAUGACAUGAGAGGAUAUACAAACUCAG